CACGCCGUAAACGAUGAGUGCUAAGUGUUGGAGGGUUUCCGCCCUUCAGUGCUGCAGCUAACGCAUUAAGCACUCCGCCUGGGGAGUACGGCCGCAAGGCUGAAACUCAAAGGAAUUGACGGGGGCCCGCACAAGCGGUGGAGCAUGUGGUUUAAUUCGAAGCAACGCGAAGAACCUUACCAGGUCUUGACAUCCUUUGACCACUCUAGAGAUAGAGCUUUCCCUUCGGGGACAAAGUGACAGGUGG
rnacentral:rRNA from 1 species